CGAGCGCGAAAGCGGCUUCGGUCGUUAGUAGAGCGGCGGACGGGUGAGGAACACGUGGGUAACCUACCCUUGGGUGGGGAAUAACCCAGGGAAACCUGGGCUAAUUCCGCAUAACAUCCUUAGCUCACAAGAGUUUUGGAUCAAAGCCGGGGACCCUUCGGGGCCUGGCGCCAGAGGAGGGGCCCGCGGCCGAUUAGCUUGUUGGUGAGGUAAUGGCUCACCAAGGCUCCGAUCGGUAGCCGGCCUAAGAGGGCGGACGGCCACACUGGGACUGAGACACGGCCCAGACUCCUACGGGAGGCAGCAGUGGGGAAUUUUUGUCAAUGGGGGAAACCCUGAACAAGCAACGCCGCGUGGAGGACGAAGACCUUCGGGUCGUAAACUCCUGUCGGAGGGGACGAAAGCGGCAACGGUUAAUACCCGUAGUCGUUGACGGUACCCUUAGAGGAAGCCCCGGCUAACUCCGUGCCAGCAGCCGCGGUAAUACGGGGGGGGCAAGCGUUGUUCGGAAUUAUUGGGCGUAAAGGGCGUGUAGGCGGCCCUGCAAGUCUUUCGUGAAAUCCCACAGCUCAACUGUGGAACUGCGAGGGAAACUGCAGGACUUGAGUCCGGCAGAGGAGAGUGGAAUUCCCAGUGUAGCGGUGA
rnacentral:rRNA from 1 species